GAUGAACGCUGGCGGCGUGCCUAAUACAUGCAAGUCGAGCGAACAGACGAGGAGCUUGCUCCUCUGACGUUAGCGGCGGACGGGUGAGUAACACGUGGAUAACCUACCUAUAAGACUGGGAUAACUUCGGGAAACCGGAGCUAAUACCGGAUAAUAUAUUGAACCGCAUGGUUCAAUAGUGAAAGACGGUUUUGCUGUCACUUAUAGAUGGAUCCGCGCCGCAUUAGCUAGUUGGUAAGGUAACGGCUUACCAAGGCAACGAUGCGUAGCCGACCUGAGAGGGUGAUCGGACACACUGGAACUGAGACACGGUCCAGACUCCUACGGGAGGCAGCAGUAGGGACUCUUCCGCAAUGGGCGAAAGCCUGACGGAGCAACGCCGCGUGAGUGAUGAAGGUCUUCGGAUCGUAAAACUCUGUUAUUAGGGAAGAACAAAUGUGUAAGUAACUAUGCACGUCUUGACGGUACCUAAUCAGAAAGCCACGGCUAACUACGUG
rnacentral:rRNA from 1 species